rnacentral:rRNA from 1 species
GACGAACGCUGGCGGCGUGCUUAACACAUGCAAGUCGAACGGAAAGGCCUUUUCGGAGGUACUCGAGUGGCGAACGGGUGAGUAACACGUGGGUGAUCUGCCCUGCACUCUGGGAUAAGCCUGGGAAACUGGGUCAAUACCGGAUAGGACCGCACUUUAGUGUGUGUGGUGGAAAGUUUUUUCGGUGUAGGAUGAGCCCGCGGCCUAUCAGCUUGUUGGUGGGGUAAUGGCCUACCAAGGCGGCGACGGGUAGCCGGACUGAGAGGUUGGUCGGCCACAUUGGGACUGAGAUACGGCCCAGACUCCUACGGGAGGCAGCAGUGGGGAAUAUUGCACAAUGGGCGCAAGCCUGAUGCAGCGACGCCGCGUGGGGGAUGACGGCCUUCGGGUUGUAAACUCCUUUCGCCAGGGACGAAGCGUUUUGUGACGGUACCUGGAGAAGAAGCACCGGCUAACUACGUG